rnacentral:rRNA from 1 species
CAUUUACGGAGAGUUUGAUCCUGGCUCAGGACGAACGCUGGCGGCGUGCUUAACACAUGCAAGUCGAACGAUGAAGCCCAGCUUGCUGGGUGGAUUAGUGGCGAACGGGUGAGUAACACGUGAGUAACCUGCCCCUGACUCUGGGAUAAGCGCUGGAAACGGCGUCUAAUACUGGAUAGGACCUGGCCCUGCAUGGGGUUUGGUGGAAAGGGUUUACUGGUUGGGGAUGGACUCGCGGCCUAUCAGCUUGUUGGUGAGGUAAUGGCUCACCAAGGCGACGACGGGUAGCCGGCCUGAGAGGGUGACCGGCCACACUGGGACUGAGACACGGCCCAGACUCCUACGGGAGGCAGCAGUGGGGAAUAUUGCACAAUGGGCGAAAGCCUGAUGCAGCAACGCCGCGUGGGGGAUGACGGCCUUCGGGUUGUAAACCUCUUUUGUCAAGGAAGAAGCCUUCGGGUGACGGUACUUGGAGAAAAAGCACCGGCUAACUACGUGCCAGCAGCCGCGGUAAUACGUAGGGUGCGAGCGUUGUCCGGAAUUAUUGGGCGUAAAGAGCUCGUAGGCGGUUUGUCGCGUCUGCUGUGAAAUCCCGAGGCUCAACCUCGGGCCUGCAGUGGGUACGGGCAGACUAGAGUGCGGUAGGGGAGAUUGGAAUUCCUGGUGUAGCGGUGGAAUGCGCAGAUAUCAGGAGGAACACCGAUGGCGAAGGCAGAUCUCUGGGCCGUAACUGACGCUGAGGAGCGAAAGGGUGGGGAGCAAACAGGCUUAGAUACCCUGGUAGUCCACCCCGUAAACGUUGGGAACUAGAUGUGGGGGCCUUUCCACGGUCUCCGUGUCGCAGCUAACGCAUUAAGUUCCCCGCCUGGGGAGUACGGCCGCAAGGCUAAAACUCAAAGGAAUUGACGGGGGCCCGCACAAGCGGCGGAGCAUGCGGAUUAAUUCGAUGCAACGCGAAGAACCUUACCAAGGCUUGACAUAUACGGGAACGCCCUAGAAAUAGGGUUCUCUUUGGACACUCGUAUACAGGUGGUGCAUGGUUGUCGUCAGCUCGUGUCGUGAGAUGUUGGGUUAAGUCCCGCAACGAGCGCAACCCUCGUUCUCUGUUGCCAGCACGUAAUGGUGGGAACUCAGGGGAUACUGCCGGGGUCAACUCGGAGGAAGGUGGGGAUGACGUCAAAUCAUCAUGCCCCUUAUGUCUUGGGCUUCACGCAUGCUACAAUGGCCAGUACAAUGGGCGGCGAUACCGUGAGGUGGAGCGAAUCCCAAAAAGCUGGUCCCAGUUCGGAUCGUAGUCUGCAACUCGACUACGUGAAGUCGGAGUCGCUAGUAAUCGCAGAUCAGCAACGCUGCGGUGAAUACGUUCCCGGGCCUUGUACACACCGCCCGUCAAGUCAUGAAAGUCGGUAACACCCGAAGCCGGUGGCCUAACCCCUUGUGGGAGGGAGCUGUCGAAGGUGGGACCGGUAAUUAGGACUAAGUCGUAACAAGGUAGCCGUACCGGAAGGUGCGGCUGGAUCACCUCCUUUCU